rnacentral:rRNA from 1 species
UACGAAGGGGGCUAGCGUUGCUCGGAAUUACUGGGCGUAAAGGGCGCGUAGGCGGACAUUUAAGUCAGAGGUGAAAGCCCAGGGCUCAACCUUGGAAUUGCCUUUGAUACUGGAUGUCUUGAGUUCGGGAGAGGUGAGUGGAAUGCCGAGUGUAGAGGUGAAAUUCGUAGAUAUUCGGCGGAACACCAGUGGCGAAGGCGGCUCACUGGCCCGGUACUGACGCUGAGGCGCGAAAGCUAGGGGAGCAAACGGG